rnacentral:tRNA from 1 species
CCUUCCGCCUGAGACUCGAACUCAGAACCUAGACGGUAGAAACAUCUUGCUCUAUCCAAUUGAGCUAACGGAAG